rnacentral:lncRNA from 1 species
AAUGGGGUCGUUGAGUGAGUGAGUUGGGGGUUUGGACCACUGUAUGGAAGAUUCACCUAGCGAGUUGGGGCACUAAGCGAGAGGUUGGGGUCUGGUACCACUGGUAGUUUUAUUUGCUCAACGAGCAGAUUCGCUGAGCGAGUGGUUUAGAGUCUGGGGUACUAUCAGUGGAUUCGCACUACGAGUUGGUUCGUUGUGCAAGAAAACUUUGUGGCCGCUCAGCGAGUGUGUGUGUUAAGCGACUGG